rnacentral:tRNA from 1 species
AGGACUAUAAUUUAUAAAAAAUAAUUAAUUUGCAUUUAAAAAAACCCCCACUUUGGGUUGUCUUA